GGGCCUUCGUCUCUCUCUCGAUAGUCGCACGGAGGUUGGUGCUUUCGGGAGAUCCUGGUUAAAGUCUCACGGGUGCGUAACGUUUAUGCAAACUACCUUCCAAUGUCGGGAUUCCCGCCUGGCGGUGGAUUUUACCGCACGUGACUCUUCCUGGCAUCGACUGCUGGUGAUCCGAUCGGUGGCUAUGGGUGUGCGUGCCUUUAUUUAUGUGGGCGGGUAAAGGCCCAGCCAGGCUACCAUGGCUAGGGGUUCUGACACGAUGGUCCCCCCCCCUGGUGGAUCACCUCCAUUCUACUCCUACGGGAGGCAGCAGUAGGGAAUAUUGGGCAAUGGCCGAGAGGCUGACCCAGCCAUGCCGCGUGCAGGAAGAAGGCCUUCUGGGUUGUAAACUGCUUUUAUCUGGGAAGAAAACGCCCCUGCGGGGGUAACUGACGGUACCAGAUGAAUAAGCACCGGCUAACUCCGUGCCAGCAGCCGCGGUAAUACGGAGGGUGCAAGCGUUGUCCGGAUUUAUUGGGUUUAAAGGGUGCGUAGGCGGCCCGUUAAGUCAGCGGUGAAAUCCCAGGGCUCAACCCUGGAACUGCCGUUGAUACUGGCGGGGCUUGAGUUCGGUCGAGGCGGGCGGAACUGGUGGUGUAGCGGUGAAAUGCAUAGAUACCACCAAGAACCCCGAUUGCGAAGGCAGCUCGCUGGCCCGAAACUGACGCUGAGGCACGAAAGCGUGGGGAGCGAACAGGAUUAGAUACCCUGGUAGUCCACGCCGUAAACGAUGAUCACUCGAUGUUUGCGAUACACGGCAAGCGUCCAAGCGAAAGCGUUAAGUGAUCCACCUGGGGAGUACGCCCCGCAAGGGUGAAACUCAAAGGAAUUGACGGGGGCCCGCACAAGCGGUGGAGCAUGUGGUUUAAUUCGAUGAUACGCGAGGAACCUUACCUAGGCUAGAAUGCGCGUGACCGCCCCAGAGAUGGGGCUUCCCUCCGGGGCACAAAGCAAGGUGCUGCAUGGCUGUCGUCAGCUCAUGCCGUGAGGUGUCGGGUUAAGUCCCGCAACGAACGCAACCCCUACCUUUAGUUGCCAGCAUGUAAUGAUAGGGACUCUAAAGGGACUGCCUCCGCAAGGAGCGAGGAAGGAGGGGACGACGCUCAAGUCAUCAUGGCCCUAACGCCUAAGGCUACACACGUGCUACAAUGGCCGGUACAGAGGGUUGCCACCUGGUGACAGGGAGCCAAUCUCAAAAAGCCGGUCUCAGUUCGGAUCGAAGUCUGCAACUCGACUUCGUGAAGCCGGAAUCGCUAGUAAUCGCGCAUCAGCAACGGCGCGGUGAAUACGUUCCCGGGCCUUGUACACACCGCCCGUCAAGCCAUGGAAGUCAGGGAGACCUGAAGCCGGUGACCGUCAAAGGAGCCGUCUA
rnacentral:rRNA from 1 species